CAGAGGGGAAGAGAGAGACAGAGGGAGAAAAGAGAGAGACACACAAGAGGAGGGGGAGAAAGAGGCAGAGGGGGAAAGGAGAGAGACACACAAGGGGAGGGGGAGAAAGAGGCAGAGGGUGAAGAGAGAGACUGGGGGAGACAUGGACACAGAGUGAGGGGGAGAAAGAAACAUGCAGAGUGACUGGGAGGACACAAAUAGGCACACAGAGGGGCUGGAGAUAAAGAGACACACAUAGGGGCUGUAUAUAUAACUGGUGGAUCCAAGGGAGGGAGGCAACAGGGCAAUUCCCCCUCCACGAGGCUCUCCUCUGCAAGCCAAUCUCCCUCCCCGUUCCACAGGCACCAUGCGGGCAGCCGGCAGGGGAGGGAGGAAGAGAGGACCCGGGAGCUCAGCCUGCAGCUCCUCUGCAUCCUUCUCGUGCGAGCACAGAGCGUUUGCAGCGGUUACCACGGCAACGCUCCAGCUUUCACGAGAGUGAACUCUAGCCCUGGAGAUACGGGCUAGAGUUCACUCUCACCACUGCGACAACCAGGGAUUCCUGGUGGUCGCAGUGGUGAGAGUGAACUCUAGCCCCAUACACACACUGCCUCCACACAUACACCAUACACAUUCACACACUGCCCCCAUACACAUUCACACACUGCUCCCCAUACACACAUUGCCCCAUACACACACACACUGCCCCCACACACACACCAUACACAUUUACACACUGCCCCAUGCACACAUUGCCCCCCACACACAUACACAGCCCCCAUACACACAUUGCUGCACACACACACAUACACAGCCCCCAUACACACAUUGUCCCACACACCCUACACAUUCACACAUACACUGAACCUUUCACACACACUGCACCCCUCACACAUUGCACCACUGCUCCUAUACCCUAAUACAGCCCCAUAUCCCAGCAGAUCCCAGGUAAGUUGUUCUAAAACAGUUUGACUACUUACUCUGGGAGAGGGUCCCGGCACUCCUUGCACCCUAACCACUACACAGAGCCGUAGUGGUUAUUGUGCAUGUAUUUUUUCUUUAAAUAAUCUACAAGUGCCCCUCCCAGGAUCAGGCUCUGGAUCCACCACCGGUAUAUGACAUGUAUGUACUGUGAUUUUAGGACAAAGUAGCUGAAUUUUAAAAAUGUGUUUUGCUAUGUUAUGUUGGACAAAAUUUGAAAUUCACUUUGACGUUAAUUUGAAUCUUGACAAUUCAUAUUUUUGCCCCUUCCUGCUCCUUGCUGAUCCUUCCUUCUCCUUGCUGACCCUUCCUUCUCCUUGCUGACCAUUCCUACUCCUUGCUGCCCUUUCCAGCUCCUUGCUGACCCUUUCUGCCCCUUCUUGCUGACACUUCCUGCUCCUUGCUGCCCUUUCCAACUCCUUUCUGACCCUUUCUGCCCCUUGUUGCUCCUUGCUGCCCCUUUCUGCUUCCUUCUCAUUUCAGUUCCUUCCCCUUCCUACUCUUUCUCUUACUUUACCUUCCUGCCCCUUGCUUACCCUUCCUGUAGGCUGCCUCCCCCCCCGUCCCUCACUUACGUGAUCUAUAGACUCUCUCCCCAUCAUCCCUAACUUACCUGAUCUGUAGGUGGAUCCCCCAUCUCUCACUUCCUUGAUCUAUAGGCUGCACCCCCAUGCCUCACUUCCCUGAUCUAUAGGCUCUCUCUGCCACCCCCUCCCUCACUUACCUGAUCUGUAGGCUGUCUCUGGCUGCAUGUGCUAUUCCUCUGCGGAUUCAGUCAGAAGAGAGAAGCAGGGAUAAUAUGUAGCUUCCUAUCCCUGUCUCUCCACACACAGGCGCCGGUAUUGCAGUGUAUUUUCAAUACACAAAAAAUAGCAGAACAAGCUGAAAAAUCCAGGGGGGAGGAGGGCCUUGACCCCCCCCUGCGGACGCCCAUGUACACAGGGCAGGAUGAACUUAAAGUAGCCAGGUAGAGCAGAGAUAGAAUUACUUUGUUAAACAUUCUGACCUUGUUUUGCAAACCAUUAUUUUGCUUAUCCUGCUGUUUAGCUAAAUUUAAAUGCACACAGUAUGAAUGCUUCUAUCAAAGCUGAUUGUCUAGGUUGUUACCCCUAACACCAUGCCUAAUAAAUAAACCUGUAUACAUACUUCUUACUUAGACCUGAGCUUUAUUACAUUUUCUGUAUGAAUCCAAAUAUUAAACAUCCUAUCCGUUUUUUAUUGAACAUGAUUUCCAUAGCAAACAUUUUCUCACAAACUCUAAUGAUGGGGCUAUCUUACUAAGUGUCCACUAGAUGGCAGCAAACCCUUUCUGUACACUUCAUCAACUCGGAAUAACACAUACACAAAAUUGGUAGUACAUGUAGACUCUGG